ACGGGAGGCAGCAGUGAGGAAUAUUGGUCAAUGGACGUAAGUCUGAACCAGCCAAGUAGCGUGCAGGAUGACGGCCCUAUGGGUUGUAAACUGCUUUUGUUGGGGAAUAAAUGACGGGACGCGUCCCGUUUUGCAUGUACCCUUCGAAUAAGGACCGGCUAAUUCCGUGCCAGCAGCCGCGGUAAUACGGAAGGUCCGGGCGUUAUCCGGAUUUAUUGGGUUUAAAGGGAGCGUAGGCCGGAAGCUAAGCGUGUUGUGAAAUGUAGUGGCUCAACCUCUGCACUGCAGCGCGAACUGGCAUCCUUGAGUGCGCGGGAAGUUGGCGGAAUUCGUUGUGUAGCGGUGAAAUGCUUAGAUAUGACGAAGAACUCCGAUUGCGAAGGCAGCUGACUGUAGCGUUACUGACGCUGAAGCUCGAAAGUGCGGGUAUCGAACAGGAUUAGAUACCCUGGUA
rnacentral:rRNA from 1 species